rnacentral:tRNA from 1 species
UUAAUUAAAGCCAAAUAGAGGCAUAUUAUUGUUAAUAAUAUCAUUGAAUAAUAUUCUAAUUAAA